rnacentral:rRNA from 1 species
GACGAACGCUGGCGGCGUGCUUAACACAUGCAAGUCGAACGGAAAGGCCCUGCUUGCAGGGUGCUCGAGUGGCGAACGGGUGAGUAACACGUGGGUGAUCUGCCCCUUACUUUGGGAUAAGCCUGGGAAACUGGGUCUAAUACUGGAUAGGACCAUGCUGUAGGUGGUGUGGUGGAAAGAUUAGUUUCGGUAAGGGAUGAGCUCGCGGCCUAUCAGCUUGUUGGUGGGGUAAUGGCCUACCAAGGCGUCGACGGGUAGCCGGCCUGAGAGGGUGGACGGCCGCAUUGGGACUGCGAUGCGGCCCAGACGCCUACGGGAGGCGGCAGUGGGGAAUAUUGCACAAUGGGCGCACGCCUGAUGCAGCGACGCCGCGUGGGGGAUGACGGCCUUCGGGUUGUAAACUCCUUUCGGCCAUGACGAAGCCCUUGUGGUGACGGUAGUGGUAGAAGAAGCACCGGCUAACUACGUG